UACGUAGGGUGCGAGCGUUGUCCGGAAUUAUUGGGCGUAAAGGGCUCGUAGGCGGUGUGUCGCGUCGGCCGUGAAAACCUGCAGCUUAACUGUGGGCUUGCGGUCGAUACGGGCAUCACUGGAGUUCGGCAGGGGAGACUGGAAUUCCUGGUGUAGCGGUGAAAUGCGCAGAUAAUCAGGAAGAACACCCGCGGCGAAGGCGGUUCUCUGGGACGGUACUGACGCUGAGACGCGAAAGCGUGGGGAGCAAACAGG
rnacentral:rRNA from 1 species